GGUCUGAUCGUAUAACGGUUAGUACACAAGAUUCUGAUUGGCUGUACGUAGUAGUCUUCAACCCUGCUAUUGUCUCUCGUUCUUGUAAUCUGGGUUCGAUUCCCAGUCGGACCU